GCCUGUGGCGCAAUGGGUCAGGGUGGGUCUGACUUGUAAACAGAAGGUUGGUGGUUCGAGCCCACCCAGGGACA